rnacentral:lncRNA from 1 species
AGAAYGACGUACAAGCAGGAGAGCUCCAGCAGAACAGGCUCUUGUCACAGGAACAGCCGUUCAUGUGGUAUCUUAGCCUUCAUGCUCCUGGUCCCAGCUAGUCUGACCCCAUGCCAUCUGCAGGGAAAAGGAGAUGACAAAGAGAAGUGUUGCAGCUACUUGAGGAAAAAGCUGGCUCUUGCUCAUCUCAAAGGCCAGUACUGCUCAGAACCAUUGCAGACCYGGGGGAUUCAAGCUAACCAGUCCUGA